GUAAUACUAACAGGCACUCCACAAGGCGUUGGCCCCGUAAAAGUAGGUCAAAAGAUAACUGCUGGCAUCACAGAUCUUCUUGAUGUUCACUUUAAUGUUGAAAAACGCAGAAGGCCAGGAAGUUAUUAAGCAAGGGGAAAUUUUCUUUCAAUUUCUGACUUAAAAUAAUGGCCGAGGCAGCUCCAUUCGUGGCCUUGCUUUCCAGAAUCGCCCAAACGGUGAUACAUAAACAUCAAACUAUGUUUUU
rnacentral:misc_RNA from 1 species